GCUAGUCCGGGCGCGGUGUGGAGCGGGCGGCUAGCGGAGGGAACCCGCUCCUCUCCGGGCACUGCAAGGACAGAAGCAGGCGAUGCACAGAGGGAGCUCUCGCGGUCUUGCCCAACCGUUUCUCAUAGGCAAGAGAAUUCCCAGAAAAUGAAAGCAGUCAAAGGAUUUGGAGAAUCAUAGUCUACUCUGAGUGGCACCAGCAGCUAUUGAGUCAGCAGCGCAAUUCAGACUUCCUGGCCCCUGUACACAAAUUGGAUGAUGAUUAUACCCAGAGACUUGGAAAUUCUUCUACUUGGUGAUGCUCUGACAGAGCUCAUUGACCUGGCUAUGAAGAACUCUCAGCCAACUCAGACUCACAGAAUGUCUGAUUGGAAGACUCACCUACAGUAAAAUUGUAGGAAAUUGAGAGCCUUGUUGGUGGCCCAACAAGCUUUAUAGCUCCAUGAUGAUCUAUGACAAUUCUAACCUGUUGAGUUGGCACAGGUCAAAUCUAUAGCUGGAUGCCAUUUUAAAGGCUAUCUUGUCCAAGGCACUAAAUUUACAAAUGAGGAACAGAAACUCGAGGAAUUUAAGUGAUUUGCCCAAGGUAAUACAGGUUUCAACAUCACAAGUGGGAUUUGAACCCAGAUCUUCUAACUCCCAGAAAUUCCAUUUCUUUCCAUUGUCACAUACCAUUUUGUGAUCAGACUAUAAGCUUUUCACCUCAAUAUGCAACAUUUGGCAAUCAUGGAGAUAAUUAUGAAUGAAAUCAUGCCCAAGUGUGAGAGAUAAUAAAAGGAUAAUGAAUAAUAAUUGCCAGAGAACUACUCAUAGUGUUUACUGAUCUUGUAGUACUCACACUGCAGAUUUGUUCCCUUUUUUAGUUAUUAAAAAUGGACUUUUUAACAUACAUUUUUACAUCUAUAGGUUCAAAUUCUCUCUUUCCUGUUCCUUCACCACACAUUGAGGAGGCAAGCAAUGAUAUUCAUUAUACAAUUAAAAUAAUCCAAAAUAUAUUUCCAUGUUAGACACAUUGUGAAAAUAGAAAAAAAGAAUAAGAGAAAUAAAGUGAAAAGUAUGUAUUUAUCUGCACUCAGAGUUCACCAAUUCUCUCUGGAUAUAGCAUUUUUGAUCAUGAGACCAGUGGAUCAUUAUUUUAUCAGAAUAGCUAAGAAUUUCACAAUUGAUCAUUUUAGGAUAUUACUGUUGCUAUUUAUAUCCUCCUGCCUCUGCUAAAUUCACUUUGCAUCAGUUCAUAUGUCUUCCCAGUCUUUUCUGAAAGCACCUUGACCAUUAUUGUUUAUAUGUCAAUUAUGUCCUAUCACAGUCAUAUAUCACAACUUGCUUAGCACUUUACCAAUUUAUGGACAUCCCCUCAAUUUUCAAUUAAUUUACACAACAACAACAAAAUACUUCAAUAUUUUUUUUUGCAUUUAUUAGGUCUUUUCUCUUUUGUUUGAACUCUAUGAGAUAUAGGUCUAGUAAUGGUAUUUCUGAGAAAAAGGGUAUGCACAGUUUUAUAGCCCUUUGGAUAGAAUUCCAAAUCGUUCUCCAGAAUGGUUAGAACAUUUAAUAACUCCAUCAACAGUAUUUCAAUGUCCCUAUUUUUGCCACAGCCCUUCCAGCAUUUGUCUUUUUCCUUUUCUGUCAUGUUAGAUAAUCUGAAAAGUGCAAGUGGUAACUUAGAGUUAUUUUAAUUUUAAUUUUCUCUAAUUAAUAGUGGUAUUAUACUUUCUAUAUGACUAUAGAAAGAAUUGAUCUCAUUUUCUGAAAACUGCCUGUUCAUAUCUUCAACCAUUUAUCAAUUUGGAGAUGGUUUUUGAUUUUAUAAGUUUGGUUCUGUUUCCUAUAUGUUGGGGAAAUGGAGCUUUUAUAAGAGCACUUUGCUUUAAAAAUUUCCCCAGUUUCCUACUUUCCUCAUAAUUUUAUUGACAUUGGUUUUGUUUCAGGUUCAUUUUUUUUUCUUUUAUAAAACCCUUACCUUCCAUCUUAUAAUCAAUACUGUGUACUGGUUCUAAGGCAGAAGAGCAUUAAGGGCUAAACAAUGAUGAUUAAGUGCCUUGUCUAGGUUCACAAAGCUAGGAAGUGUCUGAGGCCACAUUUGAACCUAGGACCUCUCCUCUCUAGGCCUGGCUUUCAAUCAACUGAGCCAACCAGCUGUCCUCUCAGGUUCAUUCUUAAAAGCCUUUUUACUUUUUUUACAAUCUUAAAAGUUGUUCUUCACUGCUUAUAUGUUAAUGGGAAUUUUGAUAGCACACUGAUUGCAUAUACUCUCUCUCUCUCUCUCUCUCUCUCUCUCUCUCUCUCUCUCUCUCUCUCUUUCUAAUACUUCCCAAAAGAAGAAUUGUCCUUUUGUUUCUUUCCACCCCAUGGACCAUGGAAUUAAUACAGAAUUUAUCUGUUAAUCAAGAUAUUGUUAUUUGUUUUGUGUAUUCUUUACCCUCUUCCAUUUUUAUUCCUUUCACAUUAAUUCUUCACCAGCACUAAAAAUAAGACAUUUUAUUGAAAGAAUUUUCCUAGCAAAUGUUUGACUUUUCAAAUUUCAGUGAUAUCUCCAGUCAUAAAUUCAUAGGAUAUUGGCCUAACCAUACAGAAUGACCAAAAAAAGAAA